ensembl:lncRNA
CUUUCAACAUUUACCAAGUUUUUCAGUCAGAGCUUCAUUUCAUAAUUUUUUAAAAAUUUAAAAUGAGUAAAAUCUGGAAAGUGAGUGAAGUACAGCAAUAUUAUUGUACAGUCCUAUGACACAUAUACUGGUGAUGGUAUAGAACAAUAACUAUACUCUAUCAGGUUCCUUCAUGUGCUUCUAAUCCCAGAUACCUCUCUUCCCAUUAUAGACACCCUUCCCAGAAGAAGUCACUAUUUUUAAUUCAGUUGCAAUGUAUUAAUUUUGCCAGCUUUUUAAUUUCAUAAAAAAUAAUAUUAUGCAAUGUUAUUUUUUGUGCUGCUUCUUUCACUCAGUUAUAUUUUUAAUAUUCAAGUAUUUUAAUGAAGUAUUUUAUUUUCAUUACUAUUUAACAUUAUACAGUGUAUACCACAGCUUAUUUAUACAUUAUACUUUUAAUGGGCAAUUAGAUUAUUUCCAGUUUGGCCCUUCAAUGAAUAAAGUUGUUAAGAAGCUGUCAGUACUUGUUUUUAGUGGAUAUAUGUCCUCUCUUCUCUGGGAUUUAUAUGUACAUGGAAUAACAGACUUCUCAGGUGGCUCAGUCUGCCAAUGCAGGACACCUGAGUUUGAUCCCUGGGUAGGGAAGAUCACCUGGAGGAGGAAAUAGCAAGUCAUUCCAGUAUUCUUGCCUGGGAAAUCCCAUGGAGAGAGAAGACUGGCGGGCUACCGUCCAUGGGGUCAGAAAUAGUCCAACACGAUGUAGCAACUGAAACAACAACAACAAAGAAUAGAGUAGCUGAGUCAUAGGAUAGGGGUCAUGUAUGGAUGUGAGAGUUGGACUGUGAAGAAAGCUGAGCACUGAAGAAUUGAUGCUUUUGAACUGUGGUGUUGGAGAAGACUCUUGAGAGUCCCUUGGACUGCAAGGAGAUCCAACCAGUCCAUUCUGAAGAUCAGCCCUGGGUGUUCUUUGGAAGGAAUGAUGCUAAAGCUGAAACUCCAGUACUUUGGCCACCUCAUGUGAAGAGUUGACUCAUUGGAAAAGACUCUGAUGCUGGGAGGGAUUGGGGGCAGGAGGAGAAGGGGACGACAGAGGAUGAGAUGGCUGGAUGGCAUCACCUACUUGAUGGACAUAAGUUUGAAUGAACUCCGAGAGUUGGUGAUGGACAGGGAGGCCUGGCAUGCUGUGAUUCAUCGGGUCGCAAAGAGUCGGACACAACUGAGUGACUGAACUGAACUGAACUGAAGGAAGGAUAAAGAAGAAUCUGGCUGAUCAUAAUCUUAUACUUGUUUCACUGCUGAAUUUCAUAUCUUUGACUUAAAUAGGCAAGAUUUGUUCUUUUUGCAGAAACAGUAAAGGCCAUAGUCCACACUACGUCCUUCCCAGUAGAGAAAGGAAUGUAAAUCAAGUACACACUAUGUAU